AUGAGCAGAGUAGCUUUUUCCAUGCAAAUAUCUAUCCCGCAUUUUGUUUGCAAAAAGAUCCUCAGCAAGCAGAAUAAAUCUCGUCACUUAUGCAGAAUGGUGAAGAUUAUGAAAAGUAGCAGGUGUUGGGGAGGAGAAAGCAUCUCAUUGACAUACCUGCUGCAUUUAUUAAGGAAAGUGCUUUCAUUGGAAUGUGACAUUUUUCUUAGAUUCUUAAUGGGUUUCUGGUGAACAUAUCUGGUUUUGGUGAAAUACUGAGGAACCAAUUAGCUAAGGGAAUGAGAACUGGAAAGAAGACAUUGUAAAGACUGAACCAUGGUGGUGGGGCAGCCUCACUAAGAAAUGAAGGUGUGCAACAAACGUCCAUGCAUUGAAGACUGACCAUUAUAAGGAUUCUCCAUAUCAAAGAUUUGUCUAGAUUUGGGAUCCCUGGGUGGCGCAGCGGUUUAGCGCCUGCCUUUGGCCCAGGGCGCGAUCCUGGAGACACGGGAUCGAAUCCCACGUCGGGCUCCCGGUGCAUGGAGCCUGCUUCUCCCUCUGCCUGUGUCUCUGCCUCUCUCUCUCUCUCUGUGACUAUCAUAAAUAAAUAAAAAUUAAAAAAAAAAUUUCA
rnacentral:lncRNA from 12 species